rnacentral:lncRNA from 1 species
CUCCUCCCGCGGCCCCGCCCGGGGACGGAGCUCCGCCCGCGUGUGCCGAGAGUGCCCCGGGGCUGCGGGCGUCGGGGGUGCGGGGCGAAGCGGUGGGCACAGGGUUAGGUUAGGUUGGGUUAGGUUGGGUUGGGUUGGGUUAGGUUGGGUUGGGUGCCCCUCCGCCCCCCGCUCGCGGACGGGGGGCUGCGUUUUCCUCCAGCUGUCCCCAACCGCUGUGGUUCUCCAAUGGAUCCGCCCACCCCCCUGUUUGCUCCCCGCUCUAUUUUGUUCUCGUUUAACCAAAGCGAAAGGAUGUUUUGGCGGUGCUUUGGUUCGGAAAAAUAAUAGGAUGUGACUUAGGGCUGCUUUGUUUCCGUGCCAGCUCCGAUCACACGCCUCUUGCAAAGCCCACGACCCUUCUUUCUGUCCAGCCCCCCAAAGCUCCCGGAGCAGUGGUACCUGCAGGGCUCUGGGCACCUUGGGGCAGCACAGAGGGGGGCCAAAACAAAGGGAUCGGUGCAAUGCAGGACGAUAAGGAACGGGGAGAGGCUGUCAAUGCGAUGGGAGGAAGAGGAGGGGGGUGGGCAAUGGGGAGAGGGGCGCACAGCGGGCGCAGGUCGGAGCUGCGCUUCCUUUCCAAACAAGAGCAGCUCUGUCUGCAGACGCAGCCGUGUUUGGCUCGUCUCUAGGAAGCGACCGAUCCAUCUGCUGUUCCCCUUAAGAAUAGGGGUGAGGAGGAAGCCUGGCUCGGGCCCAGCAGCAGCAGGAAGCGCCGUGGCUGCUUGUAUUGCAGGGAAGGGCUGGGGGCACCUGGUGCUGCUGCAUCAGUCCUCGCUCCCGAUGGGCGGUGGCAUGGGGUGGGAAGAGCUGGGGAUGGGGCCCAGCGGGUCAUGGACACAGCACGGGGCGGUGCUGUCAGUCCUCUCCCCACACCUCGCUGGGUAUGAGCAAGGCACCAGCACUCACCUGGCCGCGGCGGGGAGCACCGGCUGAGGUUGGCACGGCACCAAUGCUGCCAGCCCUGAAACUCACCCGCAUAGCUGAGCCCUAUGAAUCACUGCCCAUGAACCGGAGUUACGAAACAGUGCUGGAACGGCACCCAUACAGCUGAACAGCAGCAGUGUUUACCGUAACUGAUAAGCGAAUAGCGACAGCGUUACUCCUCUCUGGGAGUUCCUGCCCGCAGCACCACCACGCACAAGAGCUGUAGGUGAAGCUCCAUCUGCCUCCCCUGCACCACAGCUCUUCUCCACACCCUUCUCUUUGGGCUGGGUGCACCACCCAAGCUCCAGCAGAUGUCACCACAUUCGACAACAGGCGUGGAAGGACGGCUCGCUCUUCCCAGCCCUUUUGCCAAAGCAAUUUCCCACCAUCUGCUAGGGACAGCAUCCCACGAGCUCCGUGCUACCCUGGAGAUGGGAAUUCCCACGUCUAGGUUACACAAAGCAGCCCCGGCCCCAAACCCUGAGCUUAUUUUGCUCUCCCUGACAUCUCUUAGCUCUUUUUGCUGUGUUUAAGCCCUGUAACGACUGCGUGCCUCUUCUGCAUUGGCAUCCUCCCACUGGGCUUUGCUCCAUAAAGUCAUUGUUGAGCUUGGCAAGGGCGAGAUGUGUUUUUAUAAAUAAACGCCAGCAUUCCAUACAGGACUGAUUUCCAAAACGAAAACCUCACAGCAUAAAAAAAAAUAUACUGCAGGCCAGACCAUAGACAGAGAUGGAGGCAGCACGGAG